AAUGCACCAAUUUGUAAGUCGCUCUGGAUAAGAGCGUCUGGUAAAUGACGUAAA
rfam:Salmo salar isolate Sally breed double haploid chromosome ssa19, whole genome shotgun sequence.